UACGGAGGGGGCUAGCGUUGUUCGGAAUUACUGGGCGUAAAGGGCGCGUAGGCGGCCUGCUAAGUCGGACGUGAAAUCCCUCGGCUCAACCGAGGAACUGCGUCCGAUACUGGUGGGCUUGAAUCCGGGAGAGGGAUGUGGAAUUCCAGGUGUAGCGGUGAAAUGCGUAGAUAUCUGGAGGAACACCGGUGGCGAAGGCGGCAUCCUGGACCGGUAUUGACGCUGAGGCGCGAAAGCUAGGGGAGCAAACGGG
rnacentral:rRNA from 1 species